GACGAACGCUGGCGGCGUGCUUAACACAUGCAAGUCGAACGGAAAGGCCCUGCUUUUGUGGGGUGCUCGAGUGGCGAACGGGUGAGUAACACGUGAGUAACCUGCCCUUGACUUUGGGAUAACUUCAGGAAACUGGGGCUAAUACCUGAUAGGAGCUCCUGCUGCAUGGUGGGGGUUGGAAAGUUUCGGCGGUUGGGGAUGGACUCGCGGCUUAUCAGCUUGUUGGUGGGGUAGUGGCUUACCAAGGCUUUGACGGGUAGCCGGCCUGAGAGGGUGACCGGCCACAUUGGGACUGCGAUACGGACCAGACUCCUACGGGAGGCAGCAGUGGGGAAUAUUGCACAAUGGGCGGAAGCCUGAUGCAGCAACGCCGCGUGCGGGAUGACGGCCUUCGGGUUGUAAACCGCUUUCGCCUGUGACGAAGCGUGAGUGACGGUAAUGGGUAAAGAAGCACCGGCUAACUACGUG
rnacentral:rRNA from 1 species